rnacentral:lncRNA from 1 species
AUUAUUUGCAACUGCCAUGGAUGUUUACAGGAACCCAGCCAGAGUUUGCCUCCCUGCACUUCAUCCCAGAGCGCACCUGCUUCCUCCACUUCACCUUCGGAGAGGACACUUCAAACUGCGGACACACGCAAAAGCAACUCCCAGCUCUGUUUGAUGUUACUCGUUCCUCAGCAAGUUGGCAAAACAGAUAUCAUGCUGGCAAUUGAAAAGCUGCAGGCGGGUGCUCUUGCAACUGACGCAGUCACUGCAGCACUGGUGGAACUUGAGAUCUGUUUGAGGAGAUGGUGCCUGUGUCAGUGUGGCAGUCUUUGGCUGCCUGUGAUCAGAGGAAAGCCGAUUUGUUAACAGAUCAAUUGCUCAGAUGAGAGAAGCCACCACUUUGGCAAAUGGAGUGCUAGCUUCCCUUAAUCUUCCAGCAGCAAUUGAAGAUGUGUCUGGAGACACUGUACCUCAGUCUAUAUUGACUAAAUCAAGAUCUGUGAUUGAACAGGGAGGCAUCCAGACUGUUGAUCAGUUGACUAAAGAACUGCCUGAAUUACUGCAAUGAAAUAGAGAAAUCCUAGAUGAGUCAUUAAGGUUUUUGGAUGAAGAAGAAGCAACCGAUAAUGAUUUAUGAGCAAAAUUUAAGGAACGCUGGCAAAGGACAUCAUCCAAUGAACUGUAUAAGCCUUUAAAAGCAGAGGGAACCAGCUUCAGAACAGUUUUAGAUAAAGCUGUGCAAGCAGAUGGAC